UAAAAGGCUCUUUUAAGAGCCAUCAAAUAAUCCAAAAAGUGCUGG
rfam:Ophiophagus hannah scaffold108942.1, whole genome shotgun sequence.